rnacentral:rRNA from 1 species
UACGAAGGGGGCUAGCGUUGCUCGGAAUCACUGGGCGUAAAGGGCGCGUAGGCGGCCGAUCAAGUCAGAGGUGAAAGCCCAGGGCUCAACCCUGGAAUUGCCUUUGAUACUGUUUGGCUAGAGACCGGAAGAGGUAAGUGGAACUGCGAGUGUAGAGGUGAAAUUCGUAGAUAUUCGCAAGAACACCAGUGGCGAAGGCGGCUUACUGGUCCGGUUCUGACGCUGAGGCGCGAAAGCGUGGGGAGCAAACAGG